rnacentral:rRNA from 1 species
GAUGAACGCUGGCGGCGUGCCUAAUACAUGCAAGUCGAGCGAACGGACGAGAAGCUUGCUUCUCUGAUGUUAGCGGCGGACGGGUGAGUAACACGUGGAUAACCUACCUAUAAGACUGGGAUAACUUCGGGAAACCGGAGCUAAUACCGGAUAAUAUUUUGAACCGCAUGGUUCAAAAGUGAAAGACGGUUUUGCUGUCACUUAUAGAUGGAUCCGCGCUGCAUUAGCUAGUUGGUAAGGUAACGGCUUACCAAGGCAACGAUGCAUAGCCGACCUGAGAGGGUGAUCGGCCACACUGGAACUGAGACACGGUCCAGACUCCUACGGGAGGCAGCAGUAGGGAAUCUUCCGCAAUGGGCGAAAGCCUGACGGAGCAACGCCGCGUGAGUGAUGAAGGUCUUCGGAUCGUAAAACUCUGUUAUUAGGGAAGAACAUAUGUGUAAGUAACUGUGCACAUCUUGACGGUACCUAAGCAGAAAGCCACGGCUAACUACGU